rnacentral:rRNA from 1 species
AACAGAGGGUGCAAGCGUUGCUCGGAAUCAUUGGGCGUAAAGGGUAGGUAGGUGGUCUCAUUUGUCUGGGGUGAAAGCCCAGGGCUUAACCCUGGAAGUGCCCCGGAAACGGUGAGACUGGAGUCCUGGAGAGGGUCGUGGAAUUCCCGGUGUAGCGGUGAAAUGCGUAGAGAUCCGGAAGAACACCGGUGGCGAAGGCGGUCUGCUGGGCAGUUGCUGACACUGAGGCGCGACAGCGUGGGGAGCAAACAGG